rnacentral:rRNA from 1 species
UACGUAGGGUGCAAGCGUUGUCCGGAAUUAUUGGGCGUAAAGAGCUCGUAGGCGGUCUGUUACGUCGGCUGUGAAAACCUGGGGCUCAACCCCGGGCCUGCAACUGAUACGGGCAGACUAGAAUUCGGUAGGGGAGACUGGAAUUCCUGGUGUAGCGGUGGAAUGCGCAGAUAUCAGGAGGAACACCGGUGGCGAAGGCGGGUCUCUGGGCCGAGAUUGACGCUGAGGAGCGAAAGCGUGGGGAGCGAACAGG